rnacentral:rRNA from 1 species
AGCAGCUGCGGUAAUUCCAGCUCCAAUAGCGUAUAUUAAAGUUGUUGCAGUUAAAAAGCUCGUAGUUGAAUUUCGGGGUUAGUAGGUUGGUCAUGCCUCUGGUAUGUACUGGUCUCACUGAUUCCUCCUUCCUGAUGAACCUUAAUGCCAUUAAUUUGGUGUUUUGGGGAAUUUGGACUGUUACUUUGAAAAAAUUAGAGUGUUUAAAGCAAGCUAACGCUUGAAUACAUUAGCAUGGAAUAAUGAAAUAGGACGUUCGAUCCUAUUUUGUUGGUUUCUAGGAUUGACGUAAUGAUUAAUAGGGAUAGUUGGGGGCAUUAGUAUUCAAUUGUCAGAGGUGAAAUUCUUGGAUUUAUUGAAGACUAACUACUGCGAAAGCAUUUGCCAAGGAUGUUUUCAUUAAUCAAGAACGAAAGUUAGGGGAUCGAAGACGAUCAGAUACCGUCGUAGUCUUAACCAUAAACUAUGCCGACUAGGGAUCGGAUGAUGUUAAUUUUUUAAUGACUCAUUCGGCGCCUUA